AGAAGCAGCUCUGAGGUCUUGGAAAGACUCUGGAGCAUCCUUGUUUGUACCGUCUCACGUCUCUCAAUAACUAUUCUUAGGGUUUAACUUCUAUUCUGGGUAACAGAUGGAAAAAGAAAUUCUUGAACGUUCUCUUCAAAACGAUUGCCAAGUUUCAUCUCACCAUGUCACCCGGGAGAGUCAGCUACAUGUUCUUGACCUCAGAAGUCUUCAUUCUGCUUUGGGAAGUGACUAAAACCGUUUUUCCUGCUCUACUUGAAGGAGUGUUGGGGAUUCUGCUCUGGGCAUGAUUGGUCCAUUUUAAAGCUUUAGAGUGGCUUUGCGGAGCACUGAUAAGCACGGCCUGUGCCCCUUCCUGAACUGAAGAAGAAAUAAAAAGCCAGCACGCGGCUGAAGAAGCUGUAAAUGCAUGGUGGGCGUAACCGGAAGUGAAAGAUUUGUGCACCGAAGGGAUGUCCCGGGAGAGGCCACAACACAUAGGUGCACAGGGAGAAAAUACAGCCAAAUAUAUUUUCAGGAUAUGGCCAAGCAGAUACCGCUAAACUGGAGGAGUUUAUGGCUGUAGCUGACAUCUCUGGUACUAUAAAACUGUGCGGAAGCCAUUCUUAGACUUUGAGGAUCGAACAGCUAGAUUCAAAGCAGAGAGAACAGAAAAACAUCCCCUGCUGAAGAGGGAGUGGGAGGUAAAAAUAAUCUGCCUCACUUCACUGAGUCCCACCCCACGCUUCCUUCUCAGCCUUCCUUGGUGGCUAAUUCAUUCCAGUAUGUGUGGUUGCUCCAGGCAAGGGGACUCCUCGUCAUCAGAGACAAAGAAAGACCUAAGAAAGGAGAUCCUCUGCUGAAAGUUCAGCAAGAGAUCAGAGCCAAAGAAAGGACCGCAGGGGCCAGACUGGGUUAUAGAAAGUGGAUUGCCAAUAAAAAAAAAGCUCUCAGAUCAGCAAAAAAGAAGCUACAGGAAUCAAUGAGGGCUUUAAAAAUCUUCUAUUCCUUAUUAUUUAUUUACAAAAUUAUAAAGAACUGAGGGCAGAGCUUGGUGUUAGAGCUCUGUCUAAUAUAGGAAGCUCCAUCUCCAGGCCCCGGGGGAGGGGUGGAGGGAGGGAGAAAGAGGGAAAGAAGAGGGGAUUCUUGAAAUCAACCAUGUUGUUAUCAGCCACUAAUCUCCAGGCCAACACAAAGACAUUCCCUCCCCCAUCUCAUUUCUUGAAAGCGCUUCCUCCGGUGACCCUUAAAAAUAUUUUGAGAACUAUAAAGUCGCACAAAAGACAUCUUAAAGCUACCAGGAUAUAAGAUGGCUAAAGAUGACAUUUCCGACCAAAAGAAAUUCCGAGUGUUAGAGGCACAGGCCGGCCUGGAGGCUCCUGGACUUAGAUGUUUGAAGUUGUAACGACUUGUAUAAAGGUACAGGAGGCAGACCGGUGAUUCACAUCUAGAAUGCCGGCACCUGAAGGCUGAAGCAGGAGAAUAAGCCUAGGCUACAUAGUAACAAGAUCUUUUCUCAAAAACAAAAAACAAAAAACAAACAGAAACUGCUUCCCCGUCACUGUUCCGUCCUUACCCUUUUCCGAUUCUUCUCCUUGCCCCCACCUCCCAAGAAGCCAGCCCCGGACACAGCAGGACCAGUGGGCCGAUGAUGAACCAUAAACGUGUGUUCUGAAGAGCAGGGUGGAGAUUCCAAAUGUACCUCAGUUGGCAGAGUACUUACCUAGCAUUCAUUCACCAGGCGCUGAGUUCGGUAGCCUGCUCUGCAUAAAUCUGACUUGGUUGCACACACCUAAAAUCCCAGAACUCGUGGAGUAGAGGCAGGAGUAUCAGCUGUUCAUGAUCAUCCCCAGCUACAUAGGAAGUUUUGGACCAGUCUUCGAUAGGAGAGAAAUUGCCUCCAAAGAGGAGUGAAGGGAGGGAUUAAUGAAGCUUUCACUCAGAGAAAGGAGUGAGUAAUGUUGGGAACCCUGGUAAUUAUAAUUUUAACUACCCCUCCCUUUCCCCCAAACUCCUACUUCUUAGUCUGGAAAACAUCCACACACUCAAGAAAUAUUUUCACUAAUAUGUCCAAAUAUGCUCUUCAAAGUAGCUUUUCUGUGAGACAGCCCAAGGGAAAUUGCUGGAGGAGGGGGGAGUCUGCCUCCAAAUUAGAUGUUCAAAUGGCCUUAAGGUAUCAAGACUUGGUGAUGUAUACUAUGCCUUCACUGGACCCCAAGCCAAAAAUAGGAAAGAAAGAAAAGAAAAAAACAACAGCCACAAGCAAACCUUACCUUGGCUUUUGCAGAUCUGAAAGAGGUUUGAUAGUUCAGUAAGUUUGCAAGAAUAGAAGACCGAACAAGAAAAACAGUGUUCCCAAACUGAAGUAAGCUGGCAAGCUACCCAACGGAGAAAAUAAGAUGCCUUGAAUUUUCAGGUAUCUGAUUCAAAGAUGGGUAAAGGAGAGAAAGGUGGAAGGGGCGGGGCAAGGGUCAUCGGAUAUAGUCUGUGACCAAGAACCUCUGACCACUGAGUCCACUGAUGUCAAACAGAAAACUCUGCAUCCAGCAGGAAGAUAGUCAUCUCCAAGUAAGAGAUUUAAGUAUUUAUUCACACAACAGCCCAGCCCCUGACUUACAGUAAGAGUAGAAGUGCUCCUACACACACACACACACACACACACACACACACACACACACACACACACACACAAAUAA